CUUCCGAUCUGUUUUCUGUUUAUCAGACCAUUGGAUUAGGGAAUCAAAUCCAGGUCAGUUGCAUUGACAAGUGAGUUGUAUUGACAACAGCAAUUGAUGACAUUACUGUUGUAAAUACAAAUUGAUCAUAAUUUGAGAUGGUUGUAACUGAAAGACUACCUAUCUACCUUAUAAUUGAGUACCUCAUUAUAGCACAUUAUGCAAGAUGCACAAUGCAUCAGUUUCAUUCAGGCAGGAGUUCUGGGGUGUUUUCAUAUAUUACAUUUUCUUAUACUUCAUUCAGCUGUUCUGUGACUUCAGAUGUUUUACCUUCCAUAUAACUUUCUGCAUUUCAUGCUACAGUUGCUUUUUCCCAGUCAAUCUAUAGCUCAUACUCAUAGGCCUACAUUACCAGAGCUGUCAUGCCAUAUCCAUAUUUUAUAUCAAGUUAGUGUAUGUUUAGUCUUUUCUUUAAAUUCUUUUUGCUCUUUCUCUACUCUUCAGAACUGUCAGGAUCAUUAUUAAAUAUCGACAACUUAUAAACAUCUGAAUUCUUCAUUGAGCCUUUCAUUCUUAAUCAUUUCUUAAUGCACAAGAUUGUAGCUGCCUUCUAAAGGCCAUUUUUUGCCCCAUUUUCGGUCUUCUUUACCUAACUUAAUGCUGAAUAGUACUGUAUUAAGAUAUAUAUAUAUAUAUACUCUUCUUAUCAUUGCUGUAUCCUAGCUAAUUGGCAUUUGAUUAUCUACAUGUG
rnacentral:lncRNA from 1 species